AGUGAACGCUGGCGGUAGGCCUAACACAUACAAGUCGAACGGCAGCACAGUAAGAGCUUGCUCUUACGGGUGGCGAGUGGCGGACGGGUGAGGAAUACAUCGGAAUCUACUUUUUCGUGGGGGAUAACGUAGGGAAACUUACGCUAAUACCGCAUACGACCUACGGGUGAAAGCAGGGGAUCUUCGGACCUUGCGCGAUUGAAUGAGCCGAUGUCGGAUUAGCUAGUUGGCGGGGUAAAGGCCCACCAAGGCAACGAUCCGUAGCUGGUCUGAGAGGAUGAUCAGCCACACUGGAACUGAGACACGGUCCAGACUCCUACGGGAGGCAGCAGUGGGGAAUAUUGGACAAUGGGCGCAAGCCUGAUCCAGCCAUACCGCGUGGGUGAAGAAGGCCUUCGGGUUGUAAAGCCCUUUUGUUGGGAAAGAAAAGCAGCAGGUUAAUACCCCGCUGUUCUGACGGUACCCAAAGAAUAAGCACCGGCUAACUUCGUG
rnacentral:rRNA from 1 species